CCGGCCCCCGGGACCUCUCCCUUCGGAGCCCAGUCGGUCUGUCCGGGGGCGGCGGUUUGGCCUGAGUUCCGUCUUACUAAUUCGGAACCACGGAGGCGCGGCCACCGAGAGAGGGGGCGGUCCCAGCGGAGGAGGCUUCGUGAUUCCUUCCUUCCCUCCCGUCCUCCAGUCCCGCAAACACCUGCCCACCCACCAUUCGGGACGCCUCUCCUUCCUGGGUUUUAUACUGGAUCUAGGGAGCGUCGCCGAGGAAGCCAAGCCUCCCCCACCAAUUCUGCCUCUCCAGUUCUUCAGGAAAGGGGUAAGCUACGCCUCUCCACUCACCCUGCGCCCACUGGGACCAGCUUCUGGGGACUGGAGACAAGAGAGAACCAGCCUCCACCUGUCCCUCAGGCCUGCGACCCACAGAGCGCCAACCUCCUGGGCUUUACCGUCCUAGGUCUUCUGUUGACUGCUGAUCCAGUGACACUGGCAGUAACGCCCCACAGGACCCCUUACUAAAGGAGUGAUGGGGUGUGUUUGGAUAUGAUGACAAGGAGACAAAGAAUCAGAGGACCUAAGAAAGGACACUACCCCAAGUCAGAUUUGUGCUGAGAAAGCCAACUUUAAAAUUGCCCUACUCUUGAUUCAAACAUAAAUAUAUAAAGCUAGCCGUUACUGUUUGAAAGCAUGCCUGUGUGAAAGUAUGCAUGACAAAUGAAACUCAACUUACUGUUCAUCACAGCUGAAGCUUAAUUGGAAUAGUUGUCUCAUUGACAGCUUUUACAUUUUGCUAACCGUAACAUUAGAAGUGAAUAUUAGGAACGAUGGUUUUUGUUUUUCUACAAUUGAUGAUACAUUCCGAGCUUAUUUCUGAUAAAGCAGAGCAGUUUCUAAGGAUAUUGCACUCAUGAUUUAAAGUCAUGACUCCAUUAUGGAAAGGAGGACAAGAACUAUGUUCCAAUGACUGCCUUUUAAAUUAGCUGUAUUUAAUUAAUAGGCUAAAUUUAAAAAUUGGUUGAGUGAUUACAAUGCUGGCAUUUAAAAGUGGAAGAUUACAAUUUUUCACACAUUUUUGUCUGUAAUAUGCAUUCAGAAUGAGUGCAUAUUGAACAGUAGUUGGUAAGGUCUUAAAUUAAUUUGAUAUCUAAUGAGAUAAUCCAGCAUUUCAUAUAUGAAAUAAAUGAGAUAAGUGAGGAAUAUAUUGGAAAGCAGUUCCUAAAUCUGAUUUCUUUUUGGGCUUCAAGCAUAAAAAUCAAGCAGAUAAAAAAAAAUCUUGUUAGAUUGUAAAACAUUGCUGCAAUAUGAAGUGAUUAGGUAACCCAAGCUGCAAAAUAUUUUAAGCAGCUUUUUUAAAACCUACAUUUAAGAUUAGGUCUAUUGUCUAGAAUUUGACUAUAACAAAAUUUCUUACAUGAGUAUUUUUUGAAUCAUAAUGAUCAUUUUAGUGCGAAUACCACAAUAAACAUAGACUCUGAUAUGAUACAUUUUUGUAAACUAAGUACUUUAAAACUCUUAAAAUCAGUUUUAUAACCCCCUGAAACAUCAUAAACUUCUGAAAGGAUUGCUUUGGAAAACAACACAUACUCCACUCAAGAUGGAAGUGGAAAUGGGAAAGGAUGGCUUGUUUUAGAUGUUUCUUAUCAAAGGAAAUGUUUUUCUGCGCUUAUUACAAUAAAGAAUGCAUUUUUGUAGGUAA